AGAGAAGAAGAAGAUUACGUGAGGAACUUUUAUUUGGAAAAUGUCGGAAAUUCCGUGACCCGGAAGUACUGUUUUAGCUUUGCUGACGAUACUGUUGAAGAAAGAUGGCAGCAGCAGGAAGAGCAAUUGUGCAGUCCAAGAGGUGCUGAAAGUGGGAGUUGCUGCAGCACAGCAGUCCAGUGGUACACACAGUUCACCUUUGACCUCUGCACCAUCACCCUUGACUCGCCUCCCGGGAACCUCAGAUACCGCUGCAACUAUCAGAGAUCGUCCCCAGAGGUAUCGAAGAAGGAUAGUUGGUCCAGAGGAGAUGGAGUACAUCCAGUGUGGUGGACCAGAGUAACAGACAUCUUCACUAACCUGCCAAACCAUUCUCUAGAUAUUUAUUCAGUACUGUAUAGCUUUUUAGGAGCAUAACUGCCAGAGAUUCCAAUAUAAAUGCACAAAGAAACAUUUAUCUCUAGAUCCUGUUGGAUCAGAGUGCUGAAAUGUUUAUUUUUAUGUUCAAGCAGUGCUGAUAAUCUCAAAUGCUUUUUUGAAUGUAUUGUGAUAUGCGAUGGGAAGUAUGUCAUUAUGGGGAAUUGCGUGUAGAUGGGUAAUAAAAAAAAUCAUAUUUAAUCAA